UACUUGCACUGCAGUAUCUACAAAGCUAACUCUAGGCAAAACUGAUUUGCAUUGGCAAACCUGGAGUGUUCUUCACUGAAACCCGAUAGGCUAAAGAAUGCUCAAGCUGUAACAGUGCACAGGAGUGAGGACUGAACUCCCACAGAACGGGUCUUCUCUGCAGUUUGAUGUAUGGGCACAUUAACAUUCAUGUGUUCUGGUAUUUUGGAUGCUAGUGAACUUCCUUAGAAUUUACUUGACAUUGCUUUGAAAGUGUCUUCCCUUUGCCUUUUAAAAUACACUGACCCACACAGAUGCCGCCUGGCCCAUGUUCUGUCUUGGUGACAUGCUUGUGGACUGGGUGUCAUAGAUACAGAACAACUAGAAGAUCUCCCCUGGCCUAUCAACUGCCCCAAGAUGGAGCUGCAUGCAUUCCAUCUGCUCCUCUGCAUGGAGCAUGACUUCUCACCUUUGCAGCCACCCUUUCCUGAAGAGCCUCUUUUUUCUUUUUCCCAAGUUCAAUUUGUGCAGACUUUGAGCUACUCCCCUUAAGAGGAAUACUGGAAAAGUAACUUGAAAAUAUUUUUAAGACAUUCGGACAAGAGACAGAAUCUCAUAACGUUCUUACUCUUUUAAUUAGAAGUCUUAACUAAGCCAUUGUGGCCUCCAGUAAUAAAACAUCCUCAAAGACUGCAGCCUCUGAGUUAAACUUCUGACUAGCCAGAACAAUGUGUUCUCACCGUGCUCCUGUUAAGUAUUCUGGGGAGUCAAGUUGGUGUACUGUUUAUCUGGCAGUUCUCAUCUAGCCUGAUGAAUUUUUUACAGGGACCAUACUGAUGUGUCUUCAUAGGCCAUAUAAUAUAAACUCUGCUCCGAAAGUACUGCUUCCUAUUGUAUUAUAUUGGCUCACGAUAUCAGAGGCAGGUAUUGGUGGAGGUUGAACCUAUCCAGCAAUAUUCCAUUACAUUUUGUUCCCCUGUGACAGAUGGCAGCAGAAAGGGCAGUCUAACCAAAAUAAAUUGGAGGCAUUACUUUCAGAACAGUUUAUGUAAAUGCUCCAGUGAAAUGAAGAUUUUAUUAGCAAAAAAUUUGAGAAGUAAAUACCUUCAGGACUUAAUAAUCCAUGAAUUUCAGUUUCGCCUCUCAUUCCUGUACCUGGAUUUGUAUUUGCCAUUUUCAGUUGCAUUUUCUUCCUAAAUGUGUUUGAAGAAACCUGCAGCACAAAAAGAAAGGACGUGAAUUUCAGAGUACUUUUACACUAAGAAAACCCCUAGCUAGAGAUUCCAUAUAAGGACUCCAUUAUUACACCUUUUCUACUCUCUUCCUCAUCUGUAGAAUAACAAAUAAACACAGAGAAGAGAAACUGACUUUUAAACUGUAUGGCGCAUGUAAGUAAUUUUUUACACUGAGUAAAGGAGGAGAAAGAUUUGUGCAAACUCAAUAUUGUCAUGGACACUUUAUUGUCCUAUAGUUUUGGUAUGAUCUUUUUGGAUGAGUAUGGCCACAAAGAUGUCUUGAUGUCUGAUGAAGCUUUGAAGAGAAAUACAAUUGAAACUAUCAUAUUUGCAUUAAAGGACUUCAAGCUUACAUUUUUUUUUCCAGUUUCAUGAAAGUGUUUGUCAUUAUCACAUGAACAUAUUUGCCUGAUUAGUAAGAUGACUGUAAUUUCAUGUAAUUGAACCUUGGAUUCAUUGGAAAGAUCAAUGCACCAUAAAUCUCACAGUAACAACAUAGCAAACAAACAAUAAUUCUGCCCUGUCUUAAAUGGCAAAAAGUUACAAUGACUGUUAAAGUGUCUGAUUUCAAGGCUAUGUAAAGGUACUGUAAGGACAGCAGGAGGAAAAAAAUUGGUCCAGAAAGCGUUCAGAUAAAACCAAGGCUUAUCUUUUCAGUUGCACAGAGAAAAACAAUUUAACAAUUGUGAAGCUUCUCUCUCCUCAAGGAUCUUGCAGCCUGCUCACUCAAGUCCUGCCCUCAGAUACUGUUCUGCUCUCCAUUUAUUCUCUCUAGUACCACUUAAAAACAGGUGAACAUGGACCAGGAAGCAACAUGAACUGAGAACACAAACCUUUUCUAGAAACUGCAGCUAAAAAAGAGGAGAGGGAAGGGAGUUAGGGAGCUCAUGUGCUGAAAUGCUCUUGCAGCUUUUUAUUCCACUCACACAUAGCUGUAUCCUACACAGAUGGGAACAGAAAACAGAUUAAUGGACAGAUCCUAUCCUAGUGAUUUUUUUUCUUAGUCUAGCUCACAACUGACAAAACAUCCUUUUUUUCUUUUUCUUUCUCUUUUUCUUUCUCUUUUUGUUUUUGUUUUUCUUUUUUUUUCCCCUUAAUAUUUUCUUCUUUAGUUUUAUUUCGUUUUUGCAGAAUAUUGUCUUGUUACUUAAAUUGAACUCAUUUUUUUUCUAUAAAAAUCACUAAUUCCAAUCUGUUUAAUCUCUUUUACUUUAUUAAUCAAAUCAAAAUUUUGAAGAUUUAAGUUAAAAACUGAAAUCAAAUAUUAUUUGCAG
ensembl:lncRNA